rnacentral:lncRNA from 1 species
AUAUUGUACAAUGGUAAUGUACAACAUACUUAAUAAUGCACAUUUGAACUUGUAUUGUACAAAGCAGCAGCAGCAGAAGAAGUGCACCAAUGUCUUGGUUUUUAUUCAAUACAUACACAGUCAUUAUGACUGUAUGCAAGGGACAAAUAAAGACAAGAUACAGCCUAAAGCUUUUAUAUGGUUAUGUUAUAGACAUGCUGUUUAUUGUAUUGAAAAGCAGGGUCUGUAUUCAGAAAGCAUUCGAGGAGUAGGAGUGCUGAUCUAGGAGCAGUUGAACUUUUAUAUUAUAAUGAAUAAGAUUUCAUAUACAGAGGGGGCCUGCUACUAGAGUAUCACUGGCAGUAGGAUCAGCUGAUCUUGGAUCAGGUCCCCCCUUGUCCACAUCAUCUUAUUCAUUAGGAUCUAAAAAGGGCUAGACUGAUCCUAGUUCAGCACUCCCAACUCUGAGACGCUUUAUGAAUACAGACCCAGGAGAAACAGGCAUUACUUCAACACCACUAAGUGUUUGUUCAUUUAUGUGUUUUAAAAACAGAGUGAACUUUACCAGCUGAAAGGCUUUCUGUUUCUACGGUACCAUAGAAAAAGGAUGAUUGGAAUGAAGCAUCCUUCUAAUUCCAGGAUCUCACCCUACUAAAACCACAGACUAAGUUGUCAAAUACCAGUCAGCUGUUUUUGCGCAAUUUAAUUUUCUUUUUGAUGUGACUUAUUUUUCUUAAUAUCAUUUUGAAAUAGUGUCGUCAUUUUAUCACACAGCUAUAGCUUUAGAUCGCGUAACCAACCUUGAAAAGCAUAGAUGCAGUAUAUUAUUAUUAUGACGUAAGAGUGGAUUGUGAAAAUAACACUAACUGCCUGAGGUAAAAUGGUGGAAAAGAGUUCAUCCUACAAUUUAGGGGCCUUAUGUGUAGUUUGUUAUAAAUUAUUUAUGUACAGUAUUUCAUAUUUAUUUGAAGCUUUACAAUAUUCUAGAUGGCAAUAAUACAACCAAGAGUUAAAAACUCAAAGCCUUACGUGUUUCUUUUACACAGGAAUAGCCUAUAUGCUGUAUUCAGUUUAGCCAUUAACCUGACUGUUUUCCAGUUUGAUUUAAAACGUGUUCUUUUUGGAUCCCUUGACGUUGUAUACUACUGUGUUUUUCCCUUCUGCUAGCUAUUUCUUCUGUAGUGUUUGUUACAGUAGAUCAUGUCGACAUGUCCUGAAGAGGUCAUCGACUGCCUCCUUCCAGAAAGUUUAAGUUGCGUAUCUCCACAGUCUCUGGGGACCAUGCUUGG